AAUAUACUCCCUCCGUCCGGAAAUACUUGUCGUAGAAAUGGAUACACAUGGAUGUAUCUAGAACUAAAAUACAUCUAGAUACAUCCGUUCCUCGGACAAGUACGGAGGGAGUAGUUG
rfam:Triticum aestivum genome assembly, contig: Triticum_aestivum_CS42_TGACv1_scaffold_578095_7BL